rnacentral:rRNA from 1 species
UACGUAGGGUCCGAGCGUUGUCCGGAAUUAUUGGGCGUAAAGAGCUCGUAGGCGGUCUGUCGCGUCGGCUGUGAAAACCCGGGGCUCAACUCCGGGCCUGCAGUCGAUACGGGCAGACUAGAGUUCGGUAGGGGAGACUGGAAUUCCUGGUGUAGCGGUGAAAUGCGCAGAUAUCAGGAGGAACACCUGUGGCGAAAGCGGCGCACUGGACCACAACUGACGCUGAGGCGCGAAAGCUAGGGGAGCAAACAGG